rnacentral:tRNA from 1 species
GGGGAUUUAGCUCAGUGGUAGAGCGCUUGCCUAGCAAGUGCAAGGCCCUAGAUUCAGUCCCCA